ACGAACGCUAGCGGCGUGCUUAACACAUGCAAGUCGAACGGAAAGGCCCUGCUUUUGUGGGGUGCUCGAGUGGCGAACGGGUGAGUAACACGUGAGUAACCUGCCCUUGACUUUGGGAUAACUUCAGGAAACUGGGGCUAAUACCGGAUAGGAGCUCCUGCUGCAUGGUGGGGGUUGGAAAGUUUCGGCGGUUGGGGAUGGACUCGCGGCUUAUCAGCUUGUUGGUGGGGUAGUGGCUUACCAAGGCUUUGACGGGUAGCCGGCCUAAGAGGGUGACCGGCCACAUUGGGACUGAGAUACGGCCCAGACUCCUACGGGAGGCAGCAGUGGGGAAUAUUGCACAAUGGGCGGAAGCCUGAUGCAGCAACGCCGCGUGCGGGAUGACGGCCUUCGGGUUGUAAACCGCUUUCGCCUGUGACGAAGCGUGAGUGACGGUAAUGGGUAAAGAAGCACCGGCUAACUACGUG
rnacentral:rRNA from 1 species